UAUGUGAGUAAUAGUCUUUCAUGUUUACAUCAAUCUUCUCACAUAUAACUAGUGUAGGGUGUGUAGUCAGAAAAUUUGUGUGAAAAUAGAGAGUAUCUAGUAAGGAAUUGAGGGAAUUCUCUAAGGCAUGUUACUACCUUCAAAAUGUUGUUUUAAUUGAUUAAAUGUGAACUAGUGAAUGGUGAUUAUGUUUAAGUAUGCUCGAGGGUAAGGAUUGCUUAAAUCUAUGUAAGUGAUGAUCUUGGCAUGUCAUGUUUCAUUAAAAAUCCCUGAGGCAAAUGUUGGAAGGUUUAGGUUGUUUUGUUGUU
rnacentral:lncRNA from 1 species